rnacentral:rRNA from 1 species
UGCCGCGUGAGUGAAGAAGGCCUUCGGGUUGUAAAGCUCUUUCAGCCGGGAAGAAAUCGCACCAGCUAAUACCUGGUGUGGAUGACGGUACCGGAAUAAGAAGCACCGGCUAACUACGUGCCAGCAGCCGCGGUAAUACGUAGGGUGCGAGCGUUAAUCGGAAUUACUGGGCGUAAAGCGUGCGCAGGCGGUUUUGUAAGACAGGCGUGAAAUCCCCGGGCUCAACCUGGGAACUGCGUUUGUGACUGCAAGGCUAGAGUAUGGCAGAGGGGGGUGGAAUUCCACGUGUAGCAGUGAAAUGCGUAGAGAUGUGGAGGAACACCGAUGGCGAAGGCAGCCCCCUGGGCCAAUACUGACGCUCAUGCACGAAAGCGUGGGUAGCAAACAGGAUUAGAUACCCUGGUAGUCCACGCCCUAAACGAUGUCAACUAGGUGUUGGGUGGGUAAAACCAUUUAGUACCGGAGCUAACGCGUGAAGUUGACCGCCUGGGGAGUACGGCCGCAAGGUUAAAACUCAAAGGAAUUGACGGGGACCCGCACAAGCGGUGGAUGAUGUGGAUUAAUUCGAUGCAACGCGAAAAACCUUACCUACCCUUGACAUGUCCAGAAGCCCGAAGAGAUUUGGGUGUGCCCGAAAGGGAGCUGGAACACAGGUGCUGCAUGGCUGUCGUCAGCUCGUGUCGUGAGAUGUUGGGUUAAGUCCCGCAACGAGCGCAACCCUUGUCGUUAAUUGCCAUCAUUUAGUUGGGCACUUUAACGAGACUGCCGGUGACAAACCGGAGGAAGGUGGGGAUGACGUCAAGUCCUCAUGGCCCUUAUGGGUAGGGCUUCACACGUCAUACAAUGGUCGGUACAGAGGGUUGCCAAGCCGCGAGGUGGAGCCAAUCCCAGAAAGCCGAUCGUAGUCCGGA